CAUAGACAACUCACCAUGGAGUCCGUGCCCACCUGUGUUUUCCUCAUCGCUAUUUUAAAAGGUGUCCAGGGUGAGGUGCAGCUGGUGGAGUCUGGAGGAGACCUGGUGAAGUCUGGGGGGUCCCUGAGACUCUCUUGUGUGGCCUCUGGAUUCACCUUCAGUAGCUACUACAUGGACUGGGUCCGCCAGGCUCCAGGGAAGGGGCUGCAGUGGGUCGCAGGGAUUAGCAGUGAUGGAAGUAGCACAUACUACCCACAGGCUGUGAAGGGCCGAUUCACCAUCUCCAGAGACAACGCCAAGAACACGCUCUAUCUGCAGAUGAACAGCCUGAGAGCCGAGGACUCUGCUGUGUAUUACUGUGCGAUGGACACAGUGAGUCGACCUCAGUGUGAGCCCAGACACAAACCUCCCUGUAGAAGGGGAUGGGGAAUCCACUUCCUCAUGAUACUAUCUUCUGACUGGGCUUACUUAAAGGAUGCAAGCAAAAUGCAGGCUUACCAGGAUAUCAAAGCAAAGGAAGAACAGGAACUGAAAGAUAUCCAGUCUAGGUGA